CUGACGGACAGCAAAGGCUUUGAUGAAUACAUGAAGGAGCUAGGAGUGGGAUUAGCUCUGCGAAAAAUGGAUGCAAUGGCCAAGCCAGAUUGUAUCAUCGCUUGUGAUGGCAAAAACCUCACCAUAAAAACCGAGAGCACUUUGGAAACAACACAGUUUUCCUGUACCCUGGGAGAGAAGUGUGAAGAAACUACCGCUGACGGCAGAAAAACUCAGACCGUCUGCAACUUUCCAGAUGGCGCGUUGGUUCAACAUCAGGGGUGGGAUGGGAAGGAAAGCACAAUAACAAGAAAGUCAAAAGAUGAUCCAUUAGUGGUGGACUGUGUCAUGAACAAUGUCCCCUGUACUCGGGUCUAG